UAGGUAACACUGACUGGAGGACCGAACCCACUCCCGUUGAAAAGGUAGGGGAUGACUUGUGGAUCGGAGUGAAAGGCUAAUCAAGCUCGGAGAUAGCUGGUUCUCCUCGAAAGCUAUUUAGGUAGCGCCUCAUGUAUCACUCUGGGGGGUAGAGCACUGUUUCGGCUAGGGGGUCAUCCCGACUUACCAAACCGAUGCAAACUCCGAAUACCCAGAAGUGCCGAGCAUGGGAGACACACGGCGGGUGCUAACGUCCGUCGUGAAAAGGGAAACAACCCAGACCGCCAGCUAAGGUCCCAAAGUUGUGGUUAAGUGGUAAACGAUGUGGGAAGGCUUAGACAGCUAGGAGGUUGGCUUAGAAGCAGCCAUCCUUUAAAGAAAGCGUAAUAGCUCACUAGUCGAGUCGGCCUGCGCGGAAGAUGUAACGGGGCUCAAACCACACACCGAAGCUGCGGGUGUCACGUAAGUGACGCGGUAGAGGAGCGUUCUGUAAGCCUGUGAAGGUGAGUUGAGAAGCUUGCUGGAGGUAUCAGAAGUGCGAAUGCUGACAUGAGUAACGACAAUGGGUGUGAAAAACACCCACGCCGAAAGACCAAGGGUUCCUGCGCAACGUUAAUCGACGCAGGGUUAGUCGGUUCCUAAGGCGAGGCUGAAAAGCGUAGUCGAUGGGAAACAGGUUAAUAUUCCUGUACUUCUGGUUACUGCGAUGGAGGGACGGAGAAGGCUAGGCCAGCUUGGCGUUGGUUGUCCAAGUUUAAGGUGGUAGGCUGAAAUCUUAGGUAAAUCCGGGGUUUCAAGGCCGAGAGCUGAUGACGAGUCGUCUUUUAGAUGACGAAGUGGUUGAUGCCAUGCUUCCAAGAAAAGCUUCUAAGCUUCAGGUAACCAGGAACCGUACCCCAAACCGACACAGGUGGUCGGGUAGAGAAUACCAAGGCGCUUGAGAGAACUCGGGUGAAGGAACUAGGCAAAAUGGCACCGUAACUUCGGGAGAAGGUGCGCCGGCUAGGGUGAAGGAUUUACUCCGUAAGCUCUGGCUGGUCGAAGAUACCAGGCCGCUGCGACUGUUUAUUAAAAACACAGCACUCUGCAAACACGAAAGUGGACGUAUAGGGUGUGACGCCUGCCCGGUGCCGGAAGGUUAAUUGAUGGGGUUAGCGCAAGCGAAGCUCUUGAUCGAAGCCCCGGUAAACGGCGGCCGUAACUAUAACGGUCCUAAGGUAGCGAAAUUCCUUGUCGGGUAAGUUCCGACCUGCACGAAUGGCGUAACGAUGGCGGCGCUGUCUCCACCCGAGACUCAGUGAAAUUGAAAUCGCUGUGAAGAUGCAGUGUAUCCGCGGCUAGACGGAAAGACCCCGUGAACCUUUACUGUAGCUUUGCACUGGACUUUGAGCCUGCUUG
rnacentral:rRNA from 1 species